UACCGGUAUACUAAAAUUACUAAAAGCAAUGAGACAGAAAGGUCACCAUGUACCGGAAAAGAAGAGUCAGCUCCACUCACACGGAUGUUUGCAUCUUACAUUACCUUUGUAGAAGACUAAAUGUUUUGAAUUGUGC